GUGCUCACUUCUUCAGCACACAUACUAAAAUGGAGCAACACAGAUUAGCAUGGUCUUUGCACAAGAAAUACACACAUUUGUUAUAUGUUCCAUGUUAUU
rnacentral:snRNA from 1 species